UGAGAGCCAUCUCAGCCACCUAAGAGAUACCAAUUGAAUAAUGAAAACUCCUUAUUACUGGGCUUUUGUGACAUUCAUUUUCUCAUUCCCACUACUUACGUUGUAAAUACUGUGUCUCCCCAUCCUACAUCAGAGAGACCUGAACAGCUGCAGUCUGUGAGUGCAGAGCACCAUGCUGUGCUGUCACAAGUGGGAUUCACGUCACCUCACUACAUGCAUCCCACCUUCCUCCAUGAGUAGUCACUCUUUUUACAGUCAAAGGAGAGGAACAUGCAUUUCCAAGGAAUGACUCAUCUGGCAUACUUUAGAAACCUCCUCCAGGCAAAGGUCAUAUACCUCUGUUUUUACCUUGUGUAUGCUCCCUUGUUGCAACUGAGUUUUGUCAAGAGCUCUUCAGUUAUGUAUGCAUACAGUCCUCCUGCCGCAUUUGCUUUAUUUCCUGCAUGUGGUUAUGAACCAUUCCAGGGCUUGGAAGGGAUAAUCAUUGAAAAUGAACCAUCUCUCCUGGAACCCCUUACCUCCAGGGCUGUCUCCCAUAGGUUUCUUUGAUGCAGACUUCUGAAGAAGCCAAAAUCUGCUCUGCUAAAGACCAGGUGGAUGAUCCUUUUUUCCUUCCAUUACCCUCCACUCAGGAUCUACCGCUUCACAAUUCCUGCAGCCAAAGCUGUACUGAAAUUGUAUAUUCGUAUCCAGUUCUUCCUUGUUUUUAGGGAUGAAGACCAACUAACUGCCCCUGUUAGCUCCUCAAUCACUUCUGUCAGAAACUUGUCAGCAAUGCACUCCAGAAGCCUCCUAAACUACUGGUGCCCUGCUGUUUUGUCACCCCAGCAGCUUUAGGGUAGAUAAUUAUCAAUUCAACUGUGGAGAAUAAUAGUUCUAAGAACACCUGGAAAAAAUUAGAUUGGUCAGCUAAGAUGAAAUGCUUCAAAAGAUUCAAGGAAACCCAAUGAACUGAUACUGAAUCAUGGCAUGGGUAAUUAUUUCAAGGAAAUCUUGAAAUGCAAAUAGAAUUUGAAAUGCAGGUCAGGAUUAUUUUUUUAGAAAAAGUAAAGUAGUGAAGAUGGUGGUAAUCUUCAAACACCAUUUCUUUUAGUUGUCACUAAAAUGCUAUGGAUUGCAUAUGGAGAAUGCUACAAGGACUGGUAUCUGAAGCCUUCAGCACUAUUGGAGACUAGAAUUCACGCAUGAGUGCAUUUACUAGAUUAAAGGCCUUGACCCUAUCAGAAGCUGGGGAAGUAAAAUAAGUGUUGCAUGUUUCUUAAGUCUUAAUCAAUCUUCAGCACUUCUGAGAAUCAAGUGAACACAGUAAUUCUCAUGUUACAGUUUAAUUCUUCUUUCUUCACAUGUAGGGAACGGGAGGUAAGGAAGUUAAGUGACUUGCCAGAACAGGUAUUAGUAUGUAAGAAAUGCUGGCAUUUCAUCCAAGGCCCAUCACAGAUCACUCUCCUCUCUGAGUAGGUUUCCAGAAAUCCAAUUAUACCUGGCAGAACUGAUAGGUUUAAAAUCUAAUUACAGUAGGAGGAAUGCAGUGUAGUGGAUGUAUUUUUGUUAAGUCAUUUGAUGCCUUGCCUCAUAAAAUUAGCCUGGAAAACUGAAAUUCAAAUUAAUUCUAGCCUAUAUAAAAAUACCCAAAGCUAGGAAUUGGGUGGACAAUGCAAACAGCAAGUACUAAAAUACGACAAUGUUGUGAGCUGGGGGUGGGUCCAGCAAAGAUUAGAUCAACACUGCAUUAUGCCUGCAGAUUAUAUUCAGUGGGGGGGCAGUGAGGGGAAGGUUAAGUGGGGAAGUUUAAAAUAACAGAAAUGGAUUCAAACUGUGUUGAACUGAGUAGAGACACAAAAAGUAGAAAGAUCUCUAGGAUGUAGUGAGAUAGUUAAGUUAGUAAGCUUGGUAAUACAAGAGAAUGACAAAACCAAAUGCGUAGGGUUCUGUAUGCAGGAGAUCCAUGUUAGGCAAAGAGGAAGAUAGGAAUCUGUUCCAGUCCAGCAUGUUUGAAACAUGCAUCAUCAUGUUGUGAAUUCAAAGAAGAGAGGAAUAAUCCAUGCUGGUACAGGAGUCACUGAAGAAUAAUGUUGCAAAAUGGAGUGAAAUAAAACAUUUGUGAGGGAAAUCAAAUGAAACAUCUUAAUAUCGGAUCUUGUGGCAGUGCUAAAAUUUGACAUGG